AUGUCUGCCGUAGUGUGCGGCAAGAGGUCCUCCAUCUUCGCCGACGAGCUCAUCCCUUCCUCUCCGCCUUCCCCUCCCCACCACCACCCUUCCAAGCGGGCCCGCUGCUCCCCGGCCCGCGCCUUCGACGACGCCGCCGCGGCCCACCGGCGGGAGGCGCUGCUCCACCACCUUCGCUCCCUCUUCCCUCACAUGGAUCCCCAGUUGCUUGAAAGAGCUCUUGAAGCAUCUGGAGAUGAUUUGGAUUUUGCAAUAAGGAGUUUGAAUGACCUGCGCCUGGAGUCAGCUGAGGCUAUCUUUUCAGCUGCUGUUGGUGAACCUGAGAAUGGCCUGUCAACAGCCCUUAAGUUAACGGCUGAAGGUAAUGGCCAAUUGGAUGCUAUUAGUGGAAAUCCACCUGCGACAGAUAAUUGUCAGACAAAUCACCAUAGCUCUGAAUGGGUUGAGCUAUUUGUUAGAGAGAUGAUGAGCGCCUCUGACAUAAAUGAUGCACGGGCUCGUGCAUCAAGAGCUUUGGAGGUUAUUGAAAAGUCCAUCAUGGAGCGGACAGGAGCCGAGGCAGUGCAAAACUUGCACAAGGAAAAUACGAUGCUAAAGGAGCAAUUAGCAAUAGCUCUUCGAGAGAAUGCUGUUCUGAAGCGGGGGGUUGCAAUCCAACAUGAGCGCCAAAAAGAGUUUGAUGAUAAGACACAGGAGGUUCACAACCUAAAGCAAUUGAUUUUGCAGUAUCAGGAACAACUAAAGACUCUCGAGAUCAAUAAUUAUGCACUUAGGAUGCAUCUACAGCAGGCUCAGCAGAACAGUUCAAUGCCCGGGCGUUUCCACCCUGAUGUUUGCUGA
rnacentral:rRNA from 1 species